UUAGUGGCGGACGGGUGAGUAACGCGUGGGUAACCUGCCUUACACAGGGGGAUAACACUUAGAAAUAGGUGCUAAAACCGCAUAAGCGCACAGCUUCGCGUGAAGCGGUGUGAAAAACUCCGGUGGUGUAAGAUGGACCCGCGUCUGAUUAGCUUGUUGGCGGGGUAACGGCCCACCAAGGCGACGAUCAGUAGCCGGCCUGAGAGGGCGGACGGCCACAUUGGGACUGAGACACGGCCCAGACUCCUACGGAAGGCAGCAG
rnacentral:rRNA from 1 species